rnacentral:rRNA from 1 species
CGCGUAGGUGGUUUGGUAAGUCAGAUGUGAAAGCCCCGGGCUUAACCUGGGAAUUGCUUCUGAUACUGCUGGACUAGAGUACGGUAGAGGGCAGUGGAAUUUCCGGUGUAGCGGUGAAAUGCGUAGAUAUCGGAAGGAACACCAGUGGCGAAGGCGACUGCCUGGACUGAUACUGACACUGAGGUGCGAAAGCGUGGGUAGCAAACA